rnacentral:rRNA from 1 species
UACGUAGGGUGCAAGCGUUAUCCGGAAUUAUUGGGCGUAAAGAGCUCGUAGGCGGUUUGUCGCGUCUGCUGUGAAAACUGGAGGCUCAACCUCCAGCCUGCAGUGGGUACGGGCAGACUAGAGUGCGGUAGGGGAGAUUGGAAUUCCUGGUGUAGCGGUGGAAUGCGCAGAUAUCAGGAGGAACACCGGUGGCGAAGGCGGGUCUCUGGGCCGGUACCGACGCUGAGGAGCGAAAGCGUGGGGAGCGAACAGG